ACUCGUGCAGGAUACGGGAACAGGUAUUAAGUCCCAUGUAGUUGGUGUUUAUAUUGAAAGAUAACAACUAAAGUAUCGAAAUAUAACACAUCUGCGUAGUUGUUACAAACCCUGCGCCGUGACUGCGCGCAGUGCGGAGGCCGGACGCAGCUUCAGAACCGAGGCAGGAACCAACUUUCAGACUUGUUCGGUUUGAGGGCGCUCAGACAGCCAGCAGCUGUUUCCCAAACUUCUCCGCGUUUUCAGAGCUUUGACUUUAAAGAAGCAAAUCCCCAAAGAAAGGGGGAGAAAGCGGGACAAGAAGCUGUGAGUGCCAGUGUUGUGGAACUAUGAUGCAGGAUUUCAGUAACUGGACUAAACUUGAACCUGAGGUGAACUCUACACAUGUAGACGAGGCUCCCACUUACAGCCUUCGUUCUGAAGCGGGACACUUCGAAUGCAGUGUCUCUGGCUUGCGUUGGGUCUGUAAGGAAAAGGCCAGCUUUCAGUACCACUUUUGCUCGUGGGGGGGACACAUGGAGAGGGUGGAAAGCAGACAGUACAUGUCUGCAGGUCCCAUAAUUGAUGUUGCAGUCACAGCUGGGAAGUUAAGUGAAAUGCACUUGCCACACUGGAUCUGUAUAGACGACAUCCCCGACAUACCGGACAGGUUUGCGGUCCUUCACAUAGACGACUGUGGAGAUUUUGUAGAAAAAGUGUCUGAAGUCACACCAACACAUGUCAAGUUGAACGAACUAACUUUUUUUCCGAGAGCAGUCGCUCUGAAGUUGGGCUCCCCCGUUAAAAUCAGCUGUAAUGUGUUGAUAUACUAUAAACCCAACACUCCGUUUCUCAAGCUCCGCGUCUACCUGAUUCCAAAUGACCCUGCUCUACAACAGAAAAUGGACAAGCAAGAAUCCUGUAGUGGCUAUGAAAAAAUUACCAAGCUGCGCCCAGAGAAGCACCUCAAAAUGCAUCACGGUUUCUCCCUCACAGCCGACACAGUCUCAGCACAAAUUCAACCACAGAAAAUAACCCUGAGAAAUGAUAGCCAAGACCCAAACUUCUAUGAGGUGUACAUUGAAAAUCCAGAAAGAUGCUUCAACCUGAAACUUCAGUAUGCCUUGUCAAAAAAACACGAACCGGUGUAUGAACCAGUUUGGACCUGUGAACUCCGAAAAGAUGAUCAUCCAAAGUCAGGUUACGGGGAAGGUGCAAGAUCCUCGAGGGGAGUAACUGGUGUCAGUACUUUGGCUGUUGGUUUAAUACAGGCUUUACAGAUAACAGAAACCCAACAACCUGCAGCAGUGAUGUUUGCCAGUGGUUUGUGUUGGAGCAGUGUGAAUCUGUAUUUUCCCACCAGCCUGCUCAAAUAUUUAUUUGCACUCACACACAGAAACUUGCAGGCCGGACCAUAAAAUGAUCUGCGUUUAUUCUGCUCUAACUGCCACUCCUUUAAAUAUUUCCAUCAGCCUGGCACAUCUCUGCUCCAAACCCAUGGAGGUCGAUUAGGAAAAUACUUUUUGAAUCUCUAAGAAAGUGUCUGAUGUGAUUACCGCCCUUGAUUGUGAGGACUGAGUGUUUUAUCAAUAACAGAAAGUGAUAGAUUCCUGAUUUCUUUUUGUGCUCCUCAGACAAACACUCUGUGGAUAAGCUGCCUGCUGUGACACAGAAAGUUUCAGUGUCGAUGCCCGUCUGAGCGCUGGAGUCCCCCAGCUUCCAGACAGCUUCCAGCACCCAACCCAAAGAUUCCAGCCAGGAAUGGCCUCUGCCUACAGUUUUCAAAUUUUUAAUAGUUUCAAAAAGAUGCAAUUUGAUUAUUAUUGUUGAUAAAUUAGCAUUUAUACCAUUAUGUAUUCUGUUCAACCAUGUAGUUUUUUUUUUACGUGUCUGUGUUGUUUCCUUGUUUUAUGGGACACGUGUUUCUGAAAAAAACGACCUUUGCGUGCUUUACACUAAGAACUUAAAAAUAAUCUUGGCAUCCCAUUUAAUGAAUUGCAUUUUUAAGCUACCAGGUAGUAACAAUGCCUGCUGCCUGUAAACAUUCAAAAUGUUUUGUUACGCUAAAAUCUGAUAAAUGCCUAAUAAAUGAUGUUUGUGUGUUUCCAAGAAAUUAUGGCCUUAAAAGAACAUAAGAAGCAAGUGUAACGGCUACCCGAUUAUUUUAAUGUGGCUCUUUUUUCUUUUUGGCAUUAUGUUAAAGAAGAGUCAGUGAAAUAGAAAUGUCAACAGACGUUUCUUCAUGAGGAAAACAAGAAACAGUUCAAGAAGUUAAGUGUGUUUCAGCCAAGAUCACUGUAGUCAGAAAGACAUACAUAUUAGGUGAUUCAUAUUUUUCCCCACCUUCCAACGUGCAUACAUGUUAAGCUGCUUAGACCAAACAGAACAGGUAGCAGCAACAGCAGCCACGACACAAAGUCUGACACAGCGUAAAAUCCAGAGCUGGGAUGGAAGUGGGUUACAAAGUGGCUUGCAUCAUAAGUUUGGUUAGCAGCUGAGUCCUCAGCUGUUGUGAGCUGGCAUUGAAAUCAAUUUUGUGGCCUGGUUAAGACCAAACCACUGAUGAAGGCCUUGACCACCUCAUGAGAAAGCCGAGAGUGUCUCACACUGUUAAGAAAAUAUACAGAAUUAACAGUGCACCAUAGUUUUACAUCAGGGAAGUCAGAAAACAGCCGGCAGAGGUUUGUUACAUGUAUUAUAAUGACCCUGACUUUUCUUCAGAAUGAGAUUCAUGGAAUAAAAUGUUCUGUCGUGGCAGUUCCUCGCAACAUUCCUAUAACGAGCUCAGGUCUGAAAGUGAUGAGGCAUUUAUGCUCCAUAAAUUGUACUUGAUUAUCCAGAGUGUUUGAACUGCAUGAAAGCCCUAAAGCCUACGGUCCCAUCACACUUUUUAAAAAAUUAUUAUUUAUAUUAUUCCAACAUAAAGUGGACAUAUUUAAUUGUGAGUCAACACAAAUUAUGACAUAGAGUGGCUACAUUUGUAAUUUUUUCAAUGGCCAGCAUAACUGUUCCAUAAGUCAAGUUUAUCCAACUGCGGGAAAUUAUGUCAGAAAAGAUUUCAGAAGGUUUCAAACUAAAACAAAGGCGUAACGUGGCUUAUCCUAACAGCAGGUGCUGAAACACGUUUUGCUACCUGACAUCAGACCUGUGUGGAGAACAGAGGGCCUGUGAGCAGCUGGGGG